UACCAGCACCCCGAGUGGUCGGGACGAUUAUUGGGCCUAAAGCAUCCGUAGCCGGUCCUACAAGUCUUCCGUUAAAUCCACCUGCUUAACAGAUGGGCUGCGGAGGAUACUAUAGAGCUAGGAGGCGGGAGAGGCAAGCGGUACUUAGUGGGUAGGGGUAAAAUCCGUUGAUCCAUUGAAGACCACCAGUGGCGAAGGCGGCUUGCCAGAACGCACUCGACGGUGAGGGAUGGAAAGCUGG
rnacentral:rRNA from 1 species